rnacentral:rRNA from 1 species
UACGGGGGGGGCAAGCGUUGUUCGGAAUUACUGGGCGUAAAGGGCUUGUAGGUGGCCAACUAAGUCAGACGUGAAAUCCCUCGGCUUAACCGGGGAACUGCGUCUGAUACUGGAUGGCUUGAGUUCGGGAGAGGGAUGCGGAAUUCCAGGUGUAGCGGUGAAAUGCGUAGAUAUCUGGAGGAACACCGGUGGCGAAGGCGGCACUCUGGGACGUGACUGACGCUGAGACGCGAAAGCGUGGGGAGCAAACAGG